rnacentral:rRNA from 1 species
UACGUAGGGAGCAAGCGUUGUCCGGAAUCAUUGGGCGUAAAGCGCGCGUAGGUGGCUUCGUAAGUCCGUUGUGAAAGUCAAAGGCUCAACCUUUGAAAGCCGAUGGAUACUGCGGAGCUUGAGUCCGGAAGAGGCGAGUGGAAUUCCUGGUGUAGCGGUGAAAUGCGCAGAUAUCAGGAGGAACACCAAUGGCGAAGGCAGCUCGCUGGGACGUGACUGACGCUGAGACGCGAAAGCGUGGGGAGCAAACAGG